GACGAACGCUGGCGGCGUGCCUAAUACAUGCAAGUUGAGCGCUGAAGGUUGGUACUUGUACCAACUGGAUGAGCAGCGAACGGGUGAGUAACGCGUGGGGAAUCUGCCUUUGAGCGGGGGACAACAUUUGGAAACGAAUGCUAAUACCGCAUAAAAACUUUAAACACAAGUUUUAAGUUUGAAAGAUGCAAUUGCAUCACUCAAAGAUGAUCCCGCGUUGUAUUAGCUAGUUGGUGAGGUAAAGGCUCACCAAGGCGAUGAUACAUAGCCGACCUGAGAGGGUGAUCGGCCACACUGGGAAUGUGAAACGGCCCAAACUCCAGCGGGAGGCAGCAGUAGGGAAUCUUCGGCAAUGGACGAAAGUCUGACCGAGCAACGCCGCGUGAGUGAAGAAGGUUUUCGGAUCGUAAAACUCUGUUGGUAGAGAAGAACGUUGGUGAGAGUGGAAAGCUCAUCAAGUGACGGUAACUACCCAGAAAGGGACGGCUAACUACGUG
rnacentral:rRNA from 1 species